rnacentral:rRNA from 1 species
GGGGAAUAUUGGACAAUGGGCGCAAGCCUGAUCCAGCCAUGCCGCGUGGGUGAAGAAGGCCUUCGGGUUGUAAAGCCCUUUUGUUGGGGAAGAAAUCGUGCAGGUGAAUAUCCUGCGCGGAUGACGGUACCCAAAGAAUAAGCACCGGCUAACUUCGUGCCAGCAGCCGCGGUAAUACGAAGGGUGCAAGCGUUACUCGGAAUUACUGGGCGUAAAGGGCGCGUAGGCGGCAAUUCAAGUCAGCUGUGAAAUCUCUGGGCUUAACCCGGAACGGCCAGCUGAUACUGCUUUGCUAGAGUGCGGAAGGGGCAAUCGGAAUUCUUGGUGUAGCGGUAAAAUGCGUAGAUAUCAAGAGGAACACCUGAGGUGAAGACGGGUUGCUGAGCCGACACUGACGCUGAGGCGCGAAAGCCAGGGGAGCAAACG